CUAAAGUUUCACCAUCAAGUGGAAGACUGUGUCCCCGCUCUCUGGUCAAUCUCACCGGAGGAAAGGAGAGAACAGGGACCAUGAGAGACAGACCCUCUGCUAUUCUCUCCUUCCACUAAGACUGACCAUCACAUGCAGAGCGGUUGGAGAGGACAUGGAGCGCUGGAGCCAGGAGGGAGAAGAGGAGACAGAGAGAGAAGAAGCAAGCAGAGAGAGAGAGCUGAAGAAGACACAUAUGGGCAUUGAUUUUCGCCCAGAGCCACGUGAAUGUGCUCAAGGAGCUCUUCAGGAGAGUCAAAGAGAGAUGGAA